AAUAACAAAGCUUGAGUAGUUCAGAAGAUCUUCUAUAUGCCUUGGGUUUUAUUAAUCUUGCAAAUGGGUAUUCUGUAACGGGUAUCUAAUAAAAAGGGAUGGAACACCUCUCACACUCUAAAAUUAUUGUGGGUUAAGUAAAAAUUAUUUUGUUCUUGGAUUUUUCCUUAUUUGAAUAGAAUUGAAUAUCCCUCCAAAGAGAAGAUAUGAUGGUCAAUUAUUACUAGAGGCGGGAACUUGGACUCGAGACUUGCAACUUGAGUCCAUAUUUUGAAGACAGUCUCAUAAUCAAAGACCCGAGACUUGGACUCCAAUGCUAGUAUAUUGCGGACUCAGGAAAAGCGUUAACAAAAUGGACCCUAUAUAGUAUAUUAUAGUAAUGGACUUGAAAUGAGCUUGAAUGACAUCUGUGGACUUGAUGAAAAUAUUCAAGGACUUGGACAUGACUUGAGAUUCGAAGUGAACUUAUAGUAUAAGGACGUUUUCCCUACUCAAAUUAAUGCUGUGUUGUAAGCUGCAGGACUUGAACCAAUACUCCUAAAUCUUUGGAGAUAUCUGUAGAAAGGUUUGGAAAUCUACUAUAAUUAAUAACAUUAUAAAAAUUAUAAGAAUCUUCCAGUCUCAAAGUUUGUGUAUAUUGUGAGUUCAAAUAAAGUUAAGAUUGUUGAUGCAAUUCAUAACCCCACAGCUUAUUUAAAGUUAUUCUUGGGUAGGAAGACUAUAAUGUGGAGCCAAAAGAGGUUAUUACGAAAAUUGAAAAAAAAAAAAAGAUUUCUUCUGAUGUUGCGUAUAAGUAAUAAGUUAAUUUUUGCGAAUAUUGCCCUCUUCACUAUCAAUAAGGAUAGAGGAAUACUUAUAAAAACAAUGGGCCCUGUUCAUAAGAACUAUAUGCGUAAUAAAAUAUUAUGAUGAUUUUUAAAUCAAUUGAAUUAAUAGCUUAGAAAACGUCUAAUUUCAUAGUUAAAGCUAUUGCCCCUAUGUUAAUGAACAAAAAAUAGGAAACACAAUAGACAUAGUGAUCCUGGAGCAAAUAGUAGAGUGAAUAAUCUGUCAAAUGUAUCUAGAAUUCAUUGUCAAAAAAUAAUUGUAUUUAAUAUUAUAAUAGUAUUUUAUAAUAUUGAUAUAAGUAAAUGUGUGUUUCAUUUAUGUAUUCAGGGUGGAAUAUUAUUUUUACUACACUAAAUUUUUUUCUGUGACGGCAUUUAAAAAAAUUAUAUGGAUAUUAUUAUUUAAACUGGAGUCUUGAAUGUAUUAUAAUUGGUUUUCAUUAGUUUAUAUAAUGCUAAUAAAUUUAGUCUACAUU
rnacentral:lncRNA from 1 species